AUGUUGGCUCAAGAUAGAGCAGGUGAGGAGAAGGAGGAAAUGAACAUGGACACAACUGAGAUCAGACCUGAAAAUGAGGUUCCAGAGCCCCCCAUGCCUAUUGCAGACCAAGUCAGCAAUGAUGACCGCCCUGAGGGUAGUGCUGAAGAUGAGAAGAAAGAGAGCUUGCUGCCUAAAUCAUUCAAGAGGAAGAUCUCCGUUGUCUCAGCUACCAAGGGGGUGCCAGCUGGAAACAGUGACACAGAGGGGGCCAGCCUGGUCGGAAACGACGUUGGGGAGCCAGCACAGCCACGACACAGAAGAGACCCUCCAUCAGUAUCACCACUGAAUCACUCAAGAGGCCUCAUCCCCGACAUCAAACCCCUGGCGGGGCAGGAGGCUGUUGUGGAUCUUCAUGCUGAUGAUCCCCGCGUCUCUGAGGAUGAAACGGAACGAAAUGGUGAUGAUGGGACCCAUGACAAGGGGCUGAAGAUUUGCCGAACAGUCACCCAGGUAGUACCUGCAGAGGGCCAAGAGAAUGGGCAGAGAGAAGAGGAGGAAGAAGAAAAGGAGCCUGAAACAGAACCCCCUGUAGCUCCCCAGGUUUCAGUAGAGGUUGCAUUACCACCGCCUGUAGAGCAUGAAGUAAAGAAAGUGACUUUAGGAGAUACCUUAACUCGACGUUCCAUUAGUCAGCAGAAGUCUGGAGUUUCCAUUACAAUUGAUGAUCCUGUCAGAACUGCUCAGGUUCCCUCCCCACCCCGGGGCAAGAUCAGUAAUACAGUCCAUAUCUCCAAUUUGGUUCGUCCUUUUACUCUAGGCCAACUGAAGGAAUUGUUGGGACGUACAGGAACCUUAGUGGAAGAGGACUUCUGGAUUGACGAGAUUAAAUCUCACUGCUUUGUAAGGUACUCAACAGUAGAAGAAGCCGUUGCCACCCGCACAGCUCUACAUGGAGUCAAGUGGCCUCAGUCCAAUCCCAAAUUCCUUUGUGCUGACUAUGCUGAGCAAGAUGAGCUGGACUAUCACCGGGGCCUUUUGGUGGAUCGUCCCUCUGAAACUAAGACAAAGGAGAAGGGAACCCCAAGGCCCCUACACCGUCCGCCCCCACCCCCAGCUCAGCCACCACAGCACCCCAGGGCAGAGCAACGGGAGCAGGAACGGGUUAUGCGGGAACAGUGGGCAGAGCGUGAACGGGAAAUAGAGCGGCGGGAACGAACUCGAUCAGAGCGAGAAUGGGAUCGGGACAAAGUUCGAGAAGGUCCACGUUUUCGAUCACGGUCUCGUGACCGCCGCCGAAAGGAAUGUGCAAAAUCUAAGGAAAAGAAGAGUGAGAAGAAAGAGAAAGCCCAGGAGGAACCUCCUGCCAAGCUGCUAGAUGACCUUUUCCGAAAGACCAAAGCAGCCCCUUGCAUCUAUUGUAAGGAAUUAGUUCAUAAAUAUGUCUAUGAAAGUGAAAGUAUUCUCUUUGUGAAAAAGAAGUAG